rnacentral:lncRNA from 1 species
AAUGGAUAAACAAAGUGUGCCAUAUACAUACAAUGAAGUGCAACUCAGCAAUAAAAAGUAAUGAACUACUGAUACAGGAAGCAACAUGAAUGGAUCUCAAGGACAUUCCAAGCAAAAGCAACCAGACACCAAAGAGUACAUACUGUAUGAUUAUAUAUAUAAAAUUCUACAAAAGAGAAAUCUAAUCUAUAGUGAUGGAGAAAAGGAGAUCAGCAGUAACCUGGAGCCAGUGGUGGGGGUGGAGGAAGAUUAACUACAAAAGGGCAAUGGACAUUUUCUCUGGCAAUGGAAGUGGUCCAUAUUUUGGUUGCAAGCUUAAAAUGGGUGCAACUUACAGUAUGUAUGUAAAUUAUAUCUCAAUAAAGUUGAUUUUAAAGAUAGCAUAAGUGGAAAACUCUUUAAAAGUUGAAGAUUUAAGUUAUUUCUGCUUAACAAAUAUAAGUAUUAAGCAUCUUGUAUAAAUUGUAUACCAAGAUGCAGUGCCUACAAUUAGGAAACUACUCUCUUGAAAAAACUAAGCACAGAGGCACAUAGCACGGUGGAAGGCACUGGGCUCAAUGCUAUGUGGAGCUGGUAUAUACAGUUUACCAGGCUCUUUUAAAUAGUGCCUACCAUGUGGGAAGAAUGGCAAAGGAUUCAUUAGGCAGAAAAGAAGACCAAUUAUAUACUAGGUUGGUCAGGAGAACUGGGAUCAGAUCAAGGACAAGAAAUGAUAUUCUACAUCAUAACGAACCCUGGCUUGUCAUUGUCAUCUUGUGAAGUCCUUCUCAAUAGAGAGGCCCAUCAACCUGGAUGCAGCUUGACCUUGUUUAAAAUCUGGUACCAAUGACUGGGACAAAGAGUGAAAAACAGUAUAGGAAAAGAGGUUCUUCAGAUUCCUUGGUUAGACUGCAAAGAAGUCCUUGUCCUCCCCAUUAGUAUGGAAGCUCUCUCAUUGUCCUUUCAGUGUUUUGGUAAAAACUUUUACUAAGGUUUUAAUAAGUGCAGGAGAUUGGAUGAGGAAUUGAUCUGGAAUAUUUUAUUCAUCUAUAUAGCUUUAGAAAUUGAAAGAUGGGGGGACAUAGGUAAUUGAUUAUCUCUCAUAUAUAAUUUUAGGAUAGUAUUCAGAGUCCAGUCACACUGAACUGGGAAGUAUUCUGAAAUUACUUUUUUAAUUAGAUGAAUCUAAUAAUAUCACAAUUUUUUAGGAACUGAUGUGAGAAGUAAAAAAAAGUGUAGAGUGUUGUGGUCAUUUCUGGGUAGCACACUUGUAAGCUAUUGACAAACUGGAAAAUGUUCAGAGGCCAAUGGCCAGGAUAGUAACAAGGUCUGGAAAUCUUCUUAUAGAAAAAAAACGAGAAUGGAAACCUAGAGGAGAAAAGAUUUGUGGGGACACGG